UAGGAAUCUACCUAGUAGUACGGAAUAAUUGUUGGAAACGGCAACUAAUACCGUAUACGCCCUACGGGGGAAAAGUUUAUUGCUAUUAGAUGAGCCUAUAUUAGAUUAGUUAGUUGGUGAGGUAAAGGCUUACCAAGACAAUGAUCUAUAGCUGAUCUGAGAGGAUGAUCAGCCACACUGGAACUGAGAUACGGUCCAGACUCCUACGGGAGGCAGCAGUGGGGAAUAUUGGACAAUGGGCGAAAGCCUGAUCCAGCCAUGCCGCAUGAGUGAAGAAGGCCUUCAGGUUGUAAAGCUCUU
rnacentral:rRNA from 2 species